rnacentral:rRNA from 1 species
AACGGGAGGAGCGAGCAUUAUUCAAAUUGAUUAGGCGUAAAGAGUUUGUAGGUGGUUUAAUAAGUUGAAAAAGUAAAAGUAAAGCUCAACUUUAUUUAUUUUUCAAAACUAUUAAACUUGAGUAUAAAUAGAAGAUAAUAGAAUUUCUAUUGUAGGGAUAAAAUCUAUUGAUAAUAGAAAGAAUACCAAAAGCGAAAGCAAUUAUCUAGGUAUAUACUGACAUUGAGAAACGAAAGCUUGGGUAGCGAACGGG